rnacentral:lncRNA from 1 species
AACCAGCGGAUCCAGGUAACGCUGUCCUUGUUACCACAACCCUCACUCCGAAGCCAGGAGUCAAACAAAGCUGGAGUGCGCAAGGUCUCGUGUAUGAAAGUGCUUUGUGGACUCAAAGUGCUGACAAAUAUUGGUUUACACAUGCAGUCACAGAACACAUGUUUGUCAAGCCCCUCCUGUACCAGAAGCAUCCUUGUGGGAGCUGGGAACACAUGGUGAAAAAGAUCCCAGGGUCCCUGCUGUGGUGUGCUCACAGGCACUGGGGAGAGGCUGACAGGUAAAGCCAGGCAGUGCAGUCAGAGCUCCCAGAGGAUGUGUCCAGCCUUUCUGCACCCCCAGGGACGUCUGUGCUGGAGAGAUGAUGAGUCUCACUCUGUCACCAAGGCUGGAAUGCAGCGGGGUGAUCUCGGCUCACUGCAACCUCUGCUUCCCAAGUUCAAGUGAUUCUCCUGCCUCAGCCUCCCAAGUAGCUGGGACCACAGGACCACAGAUGGGUGUCAUCAUUCCUGGCUAAUUUUUUAAAUGGAGAUGGGGUUUUGUCAUGUUGGCCAGGCUAGUCUUGAACUCCUGACGUCAGAUGAUCCAUCCACCUUGGCCUCCCAAAGUACUGGAAUUACAGGCAUGAGCCACUGCACCCAGCUGAUGAGCCCAUCUUGACACCUGACUACUAACUCAAGGCAUGGCUUACAUUGGAUUCACUCUUUGUGUACAGUUUUACGGAUUUUGACAAAUUAUAGUGUCACCCAGAAAAGCUUCACUGACCUAAAAAUCCCCUGUGCUCCACCUACCCAUAAUUCCCCCUCUUUCCCAAUCCCUGGCAACCACUGAUUUUUUUACUGUCUUCAUAGUUUUGCCAUUUUCAUAAUGUUACCGUGUUGGGCUACUCUUGUGUUGCUAUAAAGAAAAAUCUGAGACUGAGUACUUCAUAAAGAAAAGAGGUUUAA